rnacentral:snoRNA from 1 species
CCAAGUGAUGAGUAAAACGCUGUGCACCAGUCUGAAAGAGCCACACGUACUCGUGGCUCUGUGAAGCAUUAAGUAUAACCCAAUAUCUGAUG